CAGAUAAGGGUGAAUUGCUAGUAUUUUAAUCCAACACUUGAAGAACUGAGUUUCUAGAAAUUCCAAAUGAUGCAUCUUUUUUUUUUUUUUGCUUCCGAAUCUGU